AUUGCUUCUCAGUCUUAUGGCUAAGAUCGAAGUCUAAUAUCUACUCUUAACAUUUUAAUACAUACGACGCCACUCCUAUUUGGGAAGCAUCGAUAUUAGACUGAAUUUUUAGGAGGCGAAGGGGGUUUUUUCUUCCUUUUCCACGGGUUGGCCUGUUAUUGCAGUACCUUCAGGAUUUGGCCCGGAUUGG